rnacentral:rRNA from 1 species
GAGUUAGGAAAUGUAAGUGCGCUAAUAUCGCAUUUAUUUGACGAAGGCUCCAGAGGAAGUCACGGCUAACUCUGUGCCAGCAGCCGCGGUAAUACAGAGGUGGCAAGCGUUGUACGGAAUUAUUGGGCGUAAAGAGCACGUAGGUGGGUUUGUAAGUCAGAUGUGAAAGCCUUCUGUUCAACGGAAGAAUUGCAUCUGAAACUACGAAUCUUGAGUGUAGGAGGGGAGAGUGGAACUUCUGGU